rnacentral:tRNA from 1 species
UGGGGUUGUGGCUCAGUGGUAGAGGGCUUGGCUGGCACACAUGAGGCACUGGGUUAGAUCCUCAGCACCACAA